rnacentral:rRNA from 1 species
GGAAUAUUGGGCAAUGGAGGAAACUCUGACCCAGCGACGCCGCGUGCGGGAUGAAGGCCUUCGGGUUGUAAACCGCUUUCAGCAGGGAAGAAGCGAAAGUGACGGUACCUGCAGAAGAAGCACCGGCUAACUAUGUGCCAGCAGCCGCGGUAAUACAUAGGGUGCAAGCGUUGUCCGGAAUUAUUGGGCGUAAAGAGCUCGUAGGUGGUUCGUCACGUCGGAUGUGAAAAUCUGGGGCUCAACCCCAGACCUGCAUUCGAUACGGGCGAUCUAGAGUGUGGUAGGGGAGACUGGAAUUCCUGGUGUAGCGGUGGAAUGCGCAGAUAUCAGGAGGAACACCAAUGGCGAAGGCAGGUCUCUGGGCCAUUACUGACACUGAGGAGCGAAAGCGUGGGGAGCGAACAGGAUUAGAUACCCUGGUAGUCCACGCCGUAAACGGUGGGCACUAGUUGUGGGAACCUUCCACGGUUUCUGCGACGCAGCUAACGCAUUAAGUGCCCCGCCUGGGGAGUACGAUCGCAAGAUUAAAACUCAAAGGAAUUGACGG